rnacentral:rRNA from 1 species
AAACUGAAGAGUUUGAUCCUGGCUCAGAUUGAACGCUGGCGGCAUGCCUAACACAUGCAAGUCGAACGGUAACAGCAGAGCUUGCUCUGGCUGACGAGUGGCGGACGGGUGAGUAAUGCAUAGGA